rnacentral:rRNA from 1 species
AUUGAACGCUGGCGGCAGGCCUAACACAUGCAAGUCGAACGAGUGGCGGACGGGUGAGUAAUGUCUGGGAAACUGCCCGAUGGAGGGGGAUAACUACUGGAAACGGUAGCUAAUACCGCAUACCAUCGGAUGUGCCCAGUUGGGAUUAGCUGGUAGGUGGGGUAACGGCUCACCUGGGCUACGAUCCCUAGCUGGUCUGAGAGGAUGACCAGCCACACGUGAACUGAGACACGGUCCCGACACGUACGGGAGGCAGCAGGUGGGAAUAUGGCACAAUGGGCGCAAGCCGGAUGCAGCCAUGCCGCGUGGAUGAAGAAGGCCUUCGGGUUGUAAAGUACUUUCAGCGAGGAGGCGUUACUCGCAGAAGAAGCACCGGCUAACUCCGUGCCAGCAGCCGCGGUAAUAC